rnacentral:rRNA from 1 species
AUUGAACGCUGGCGGCAGGCUUAACACAUGCAAGUCGAGCGAGCGGCGGACGGGUGAGUAAUGUCUGGGAAACUGCCUGAUGGAGGGGGAUAACUACUGGAAACGGUAGCUAAUACCGCAUACCAUCAGAUGUGCCCAGAUAGGAUUAGCUAGUAGGUGGGGUAAUGGCUCACGUAGGCGCCGCUCCCUAGCUGGUCUGAGAGGAUGACCAGCCACACUGGAACGGAGACACGGUCCAGACUCCGAAGGGAGGCAGCAGUGGGGAAUAUUGCGCAAUGGGCGCAAGCCGGAUGCAGCCAUGCGGCGUGUGUGAAGAAGGCCUUCGGGUUGUAAAGCACUUUCAGCGAGGAGGCGUUACUCGCAGAAGAAGCACCGGCUAACUCCGUGCCAGCAGCCGCGGUAAUUC